rnacentral:ncRNA from 2 species
AUGUACCUUUGCAGUGACGGUGAUCCGAUGGACACUCGCUCAUCGGAGUAAGAGGGAAACAGGUGCAAGUCCUGUGCAGACCCGCUGCUGUAAGUCUCCAACCGAUCGGCUCGAAGUGAUGCCACUGUGGUCCUCCUCGGAGGAGUAUGGGAAGGCGACGAGCCGAGAGACAAGCCAGAAAACCUGCCGUCACGUGCAUUUUGUA